rnacentral:rRNA from 1 species
GACAGAGGGUGCAAACGUUGUUCGGAAUUACUGGGCGUAAAGCGCGUGUAGGCGGCUUGGCAAGUCGGGUGUGAAAGCCCUGGGCUCAACCCAGGAAGUGCACUCGAAACUGCUUCGCUCGAGUAUCGGAGAGGAAAGCGGAAUUCUCGGUGUAGAGGUGGAAAUUCGUAGAUAUCGAGAGGAACACCGGUGGCGAAGGCGGCUUCUGGACGAUUUACUGGACGCUGAGACGCGAAAGCGUGGGGAGCAAACGGG